rnacentral:rRNA from 1 species
UGGGGAAUAUUGGACAAUGGGCGAAAGCCUGAUCCAGCCAUGCCGCGUGUGUGAAGAAGGUCUUCGGAUUGUAAAGCACUUUAAGUUGGGAGGAAGGGCAGUAAGCGAAUACCUUGCUGUUUUGACGUUACCGACAGAAUAAGCACCGGCUAACUCUGUGCCAGCAGCCGCGGUAAUACAGAGGGUGCAAGCGUUAAUCGGAAUUACUGGGCGUAAAGCGCGCGUAGGUGGUUCGUUAAGUUGAAUGUGAAAGCCCCGGGCUAAACCUGGGAACUGCAUCCAAAACUGGCGAGCUAGCGUAUGGCAGAGGGUGGUGGAAUUUCCUGUGUGUCCGAGAAAUGCGUAGGUAUAGGAAGGAACACCAGUGGCGAAGGCGACCAUCUGGGCUCAUACUGACACUGAGGUGCGAAAGCGUGGGGAGCAAACAGG